rnacentral:rRNA from 1 species
UACGUAGGUGGCAAGCGUUGUCCGGAAUUAUUGGGCGUAAAGGGUGCGUAGGCGGUUUGGUAAGUCUUGUGUGAAAUCUCUGGGCUCAACUCAGAGUCUGCACGAGAAACUGCCGGGCUUGAGUGUGGGAGAGGUGAGUGGAAUUCCUGGUGUGGCGGUGAAAUGCGUAGAUAUCAGGAGGAACACCUGUGGCGAAAGCGGCUCACUGGACCAUAACUGACGCUGAUGCACGAAAGCUAGGGGAGCAAACAGG